AUUCUUCUUGUCUGCUGCCAUAUGAGAUGUACCUUUCACCCUCCACCAUGAUUGUGAGGCCUCUCCAGCCACAUGGAACUCUCAUUGGAAUACAGUACAGAUGGCCUGGAUCAGUGCAAUGUGCAACAAGAGGACUAUAUCGUCUCAGUAAAAACCUUGAAGAGAUGAACCCAUUUCAGAGACCCAGCAAGGGAUCACCUGCAUAUACAGGCAUCAGCAGAAACAGGAAUUUGGGAUUUAUCCUGGAGGUAGUGGAAGCUUUUGGAGGUCUUAACCAGGACAGCACAUGUGGCUUUCCUGCAAUGGGAUCGUCCUUCAAGAGGACCUCACAGGCUCUCCACCCGGACUGUGACGUAAGCAGCUGCAGCAGCCUUGGAUGUUUCUGGAUAGCCAGCCCCAUGAGAACAGCUUUAAAAUAGGAGACUGGCAUUGUGAUGAAGUGUGGACUUCGCUGUCAUAUAGACCUGGAUUUAAAUCCUGGCUUCAGUGUUUAUGGAUGACGUUGGACAAGUCAUUUAACCUCCUUAAGUCUCAGAGUUCUCAUUACGGAAAUGGAGCUCUUAAUAGUACCUACCCCCUAGUGUGGUUGUGAGGGUUGAGAUCAUCUAUGUUCAAAGUGCUUAUUAUACAGAGACGGGGACAUGUAAGUGCUACAUAAAUGUUAGCUUUUAUUAGUCACUGGAGUGGAGGAGAGAGGACUGUUGCCUCCUUGUCAAUGUCCCCAUCCUGGGAAGCCUGCCUGUGUGCACCAAGGCCCAUCUGACCCAUAUAUCAGAAAAGGUGCCCUUCUAGGGAGCGACACCCCCCACCAAGCCCCCCAGUCGCUGUCCAUGCUUUCCUCUAGGUUCAAAAUGCAGCUGCAUCUGUGCAGAAACCAGGUGUUGCCUGUGAGUUCUGCCUCGCUGGCCAGAGGUGGAAGGAAGGAGGAAAGGAGAGGGGCCUCCAUACUUCCAGAGCCCCACUGGGGGUUACCUUCGCUUGCCCCCACUCUUUUUGUCUUGCUCUGAGGAUGCCAGGACUUUAAGGACAUUGUCAGCGAGCACAGAAAGAAUCUCAGUCAUCUGGACUGCUUUGUGCUAUAUGAAAAUCUCUGAGAACCUUCAAGAGCCCAAAAACAGUUCUCCUCCAUGCUGUAUGCCAUGGUCAGUGGUUAAAGAGAACAUUUUGUUCCACUCCUCCAGCUCUGCCUUAGAAACCCAAGCCCUGCACUCCAAGGCUCCUGGCAUCGUACACCAGCACCAGCAAUUUUCUGCCAAAAGCAUCAGCCAAAAUCUAUUCUAUCUAUUUCAGUUCCUCUCUUUUCAUCGGAUUGUAUUUUUACAGGUGAUUGCUGAUUCUCACACUGCUCUUCAGAUUCAUGUACAGCUGUGGUCUGAAUGUGUGUGUUUUCUCAAAAUUCAAGUUUAAAACUUAAUCCUCAAUGUGAUAGUAUCAACAGCUGCGGCCUUUUGGAAAGUGAAGGUGGAGCCCUCGUGAGUGGGAUUAGAGCUCUUAUAAAAGAGAUUGAAGGGAGCUACCUAGCCCUUCCAUCUCUUCUGCCUUGUGAGGACACAGUGUUCAUCCCUUUUGUCUUCCCACCAUUUGAAGAUGCAGAAAGAAGGUGCCAUCUUGGAAGCAAAGAGCAGCCCUCACCAGACACCAAGUCUGCUGGCACCUUGAUCUUGGACUUCCCAGCCUCCAGGACUGUGAGAAAUGAAUUUCUGUUGUUUAUAAAUUACCUAGUCUAAGGUAUGCUGUUACAGUAGCAGGAAUGGACUAAGACACACAUUGUCAAAAUCUUCAUGAGUUAAAGGUGAAGGUACAAUCAGAACUGGUGCAUGGAAUUGGAACCAUAGGUCUUAGUAAACACUGUAAAAAUGCACUAUUCAAAUCUACAGAAAAUGCUCUCUCUUCAAGUUCAGAAAGAAGCUACAAUCUGCUUUUCCUUUUUUUCUGAAGGGAAGUAAAAUUCUAUGUUUCUGGACUAAGAGGUCUACACCCCAGUCUUUCUCUUUCUGACAUGUAUAGUAAUCUUUGGCAAAUUACUCAAGCUUUCUUUGUUCUGGUGAAAAUAAAGUGCACAGGACAGUAUUACUAAGAGGCCUGAGCAACAUUAGAGGUUGAUAACGAUGGUUCCAAAGGCCUUUAAGAAGGUGUAAUGCUAUGUGGAUGUUUUUAUUGAAACCUUCCCUGGGUUUUCAGAAUUCUCUUUGGAAUUAGUCCUGUGGGAAUAUGCCUUUUGGGAUCUAUUCUCACCUCUUAUUCAGUCCCCCUUUUCUUGCAUUACAAUCUACAAUUUGAAGUUAUUCUGUCAUUUAAAAAUUAGGUCCAUGACCUCAUCAUCACCGGGUUUUCCUCU
rnacentral:lncRNA from 1 species